GGAGCCCCACCACUAAGCCAGUGGUGAACUCCACAUACGCAUCCUUUGCUGAGGAUACGGUUAACGGAGCGAAAGCGACGUUCAACCGCAAAAGAAGCAGAGGGGGCUUAGUGGUGGGGUGACUGCGUACCUUUUGUAUAAUGGGUCAGCGACUUAUAUUCUGUAGCAAGGUUAACCGAAUAGGGGAGCCGGAGGGAAACCGAGUCUUAACCGGGCGUUAAGUUGCAGGGUAUAGACCCGAAACCCGGUGAUCUAGCCAUGGGCAGGUUGAAGGUUGGGUAACACUAACUGGAGGACCGAACCGACUAAUGUUGAAAAAUUAGCGGAUGACCUGUGGCUGGGGGUGAAAGGCCAAUCAAACCGGGAGAUAGCUGGUUCUCCCCGAAAGCUAUUUAGGUAGCGCCUCGUGAAUUCAUCUCCGGGGGUAGAGCACUGUUUCGGCUAGGGGGCCAUCCCGGCUUACCAACCCGAUGCAAACUGCGAAUACCGGAGAAUGUUAUCACGGGAGACACACGGCGGGUGCUAACGUCCGUCGUGAAGAGGGAAACAACCCAGACCGCCAGCUAAGGUCCCAAAGUCAUGGUUAAGUGGGAAACGAUGUGGGAAGGCCCAGACAGCCAGGAUGUUGGCUUAGAAGCAGCCAUCAUUUAAAGAAAGCGUAAUAGCUCACUGGUCGAGUCGGCCUGCGCGGAAGAUGUAACGGGGCUAAACCAU
rnacentral:rRNA from 1 species